GACGAAGGGGGCUAGCGUUGUUCGGAAUUACUGGGCGUAAAGCGCGUGUAGGCGGUUGUCCAAGUUGGAUGUGAAAGCCUUGAGCUCAACUCAAGAAAUGCAUCCAGGACUGGAUGACUAGAGGACCGGAGAGGAUAGUGGAAUUCCCAGUGUAGUGGUGAAAUACGUAGAGAUUGGGAAGAACACCAGUGGCGAAGGCGGCUAUCUGGACGGUUUCUGACGCUAAGACGCGAAAGCGUGGGGAGCAAACAGG
rnacentral:rRNA from 1 species